CAAGGAGGUUCCUAAACAUCCUAUAAUGCGCAGGACAGCCACACAUAAGGAAAAUUAUCUGGCUACUUAAAAUUUCAGUAGUGCUGAGACUGCGAACUCCUGUCUAAUCUGAACCAGCUUUGUAAUCGCAGACAAGUCACUUUCUUUAAUAAUGAUGGUCAUGAUCAUGACAACUCACAUUUAUAAGCACUGAUGCCCACCUUGCACUAAAGGCUUCCCAUGGAUCAUUUCUCUUUAACCCUCCUAUCAGGACUAGGAUGGACACCCCAUUAUCACCACACUUUACUGCAGUAUCCUAGGAUACUAUGCAGAGAAAGGUUGUGUGGCCCUGGAUGGCUCAAUGGAAAGAAAGCCAUGACUGAUUAUUGAUGUCUGCUACAGGAACAACCUCAAUAUUUGGCUGAGAAAUGCUUGUAGAGCUGUAUACAUCAAAGAGAAUGAAGGACUGAGCAGCCUACUGCAAGGGUUUUAUUCAAUACAUGGUUCUCCCUGGUUGCAGAGAAACUGCUGAAAGCUCUUAGGUCCUCGCCUACAGAAGUCAGAAAACAUCGAAGUUCGAGAAAAUCACAGCACACCUCCACCCAGAGUUGAAGACAAGAAAAAAACAACUUUGGGGGUUGGACUGAUUUCAUAAAAUAAUCUGAGUGACUGAAGUGGAAAAUAGCAAUGACUAUGAACUUUAGGGAGGCCAAAAAAUAAUUGACUACAUUUUUUUAAGAUUAUGCAAUGUUUAGCAAACUGAGAUCACUGGGGGGGAAAAGAAAGAAAGAAAAGGAAUCACACAAACUUUGCUAAACAAAGUCACAUACCAACAAACAUUUAAACCACUAUAACCAAGAUGAG
rnacentral:lncRNA from 1 species